UUACCCAUGGUCCCUCAGGCAGGGUCUCUCAGGAGGCUGCGCCCCGAUACCUUCCCCCAGAAUUGAAUCUCACAACCCUACAGAUGUCCAGAAUAGUCAGGGGUUCCUGGAUGCCAUAUUUGAAAAGUAUUCUGAAUCCAGGAACAUAGCUCCCCCACCCCACCCCAACCCCCAGGAGGUUAUUUCCACGAGAAGAACACUUUUGUUUACCUUCAUUAUAAUUAGACUACAAACUCUUCCAGGUAAAACUUGUCUAAACAUAAACUUCUGAGUGCAUACUUCAUCAGUAAGGUUCUUUCUAGCGACUCAUUGUGUGGAACAGGCCAUCUGCUCACCCACAGGAAACAGUCUGGGUCAAGCCUCAAAAGCCACAUUGUCGCUCUGUUCCUGGGAUCCCUGAGCCACAAUGCAUGUCAUCUAUUCCAAAAAAGAUGUUCAUGGAAUUAAGGCCUCAACUAUUAUGGCCUAGGAAUCAUACAGGAUGAAAAGCCCCAGGAGGCUGGAAGGGAUUAACCACAGGCUCAGGUGUUAAAUCCUCCCACAGAGACACCUGCAAUCUACGAGCUGGAGAGAAUUUUCAGCCAGAAACACUCUGGUGAUGUGCACUUUUGCUGCUGCAGAAAAAUCUCUCCAGGGGUGAUUGAUGGCACUGAGAGAAAAGGAGGCCUUGAUAAACAGCCACGACCACAACAGCGAUACCACGAGCAAACUGACCAGCUUGCCAAAUGCUGCUCUCAGCACUUUCCAUCUCAAUCUCACCACAGCAGCAUGGCUUUACACUUUCAAAUGAGGAAACUGAGGCACCUAGAGAGAUUCAGUAACUUGCUCAAACUUAAAACACUUUAUACGGAAGGACUUUGGAAAGCAUUUGGCCAGGCGCCUGAUUUAACAGUUAAGAUGAAGUGCUUGGCUUCAAUUGCAACUGGUGAUUCCAGCAGUAAGUUACUCCAGUGCAGACUCCAGGAGCAGCAAUGACGGUGAAGUGACUGGGUCCUUGUCACAUAUACUGAAACCAGAGUGAUUUCCCAGCUCCUGGUUUCCAUCCCCAGAGUCUUGGUAACAUUUAAAUGAUCACAAAGAUAGGGAACACAGCUCUUAACCUCUGGGUAUUUUGUGCAGCCCU